AAUCAACGCUGGCGGCGUGCCUCAGACAUGCAAGUCGAACGAUUAAACUUCCCUUCGGGGAAGAUAUAAAGUGGCGCACGGGUGAGUAACACGUAGGUAAUGUACCUUUGGGUGGGGAAUAACUUAGGGAAACUUAAGCUAAUACCGCAUAAUGCAGCGGCUCCUUCGGGAGACAGUUGUUAAAGAUUUAUCGCCUAAAGAGCAGCCUGCGGCAGAUUAGCUAGUUGGUAAGGUAACGGCUUACCAAGGCUACGAUCUGUAUCCGACCUGAGAGGGUGGUCGGACACACUGACACUGAAUAACGGGUCAGACUCCUACGGGAGGCAGCAGUCGGGAAUUUUGGGCAAUGGGCGAAAGCCUGACCCAGCAACGCCGCGUGAAGGAUGAAGUCUUUCGGGAUGUAAACUUCGUAAGAAUAGGAAGAAUAAAUGACGGUACUGUUUGUAAGGUCCGGCUAACUACGUG
rnacentral:rRNA from 1 species